ensembl:lncRNA
AGGAGAAAAUGCGUGUUUUUUGCUGAAAUGGGGCAUUUUCGAAGAGAAAAUGUUUGAUUUUCGCUUAAAUGCAUGAUGUUUUUUUGUUAAAUGGGGGAUUUUCGAAGAGAGAACGGGUGAUUUUCGCUUAAAUGUGUGAUUUUUUGGGAUAAUUGGGGGAUUUUUGAAGAGAAAAUGCACGAUUUACCCUUAAAUGGGGGAUUUUUGAGGAGAAAAUGCGUGAUUUUGGGGUAAAAAGGGGGAUUUUCGAGGAGAAAAGGGGUGAUGUUUGGGUUAAAUGGGGGAUUUUUGAAAAGAAAAGGGGUGAUUUUCACUUAAAUGUCGGAUUUUCGAAGAGAAAAUGGGUGAUUUUGGGGUUAAAUGGGGGAUUUUUGAAGAGAGAACGGGUGAUUUUUGCUUAAACGCGUUAUUUUUUAGCUAAAUGUUGGAUUUUCGAAGAGAAAAUGCAUGAUUUACCCUUAAAUGGCAGAUUUUCAGAAAUAAAAUGCAUGAUAUACCCUUAAAUGGGGGAUUUUCAAAGAGAAAAUGUUUGAUUUUCGCUUAAGUGCAUAGUUAUUUAGUUCAAUGGAGGAUUUUUGAGGAGAAAAUGCAUGAUUUACCCUUAAAUGGGGGGUUUUUGAGGAGAAAAUGUGUGAUUUUCCAAAUAAUUGGUGAUUUUUGAAGGGAAAAUGGGUGAUUUUCGGGUUAAAUGGGGGAUUUUCGAAGAGAAAACAAGUGAUUUUCGCUUAAAUGUGUGAUUUUUUGGGAUAAUUGGGGGAUUUUCGAAGAGAUAAUGCAUGAUUUACCCUUAAAUGGGGGAUUUUCGAGGAGAAAAUGCGUGAUUUUGGGGUAAAAAGGGGGAUUUUCGAGGAGAAAAGGGGUGAUUUUUGGGUUAAAUGGGGGAUUUUUGAAAAGAAAAGGGGUGAUUUUCGCUUAAAUGCGUGAUUUUUUAGCUAAAUGUUGGAUAUUCAACGAGAAAAUGCAUGAUUUACCCUUAAAUGGGGGAUUUUUGAGGAGAAAAUGGGUGAUUUUUGGGUUAAAUGGGGGAUUUUUGAAAAGAAAAGGGUUGAUUUUCACUUAAAUGUCGGAUUUUCGAAGAGAAAAUGGGUGAUUUUGGGGUAAAAUGGCGGAUUUUCGAAGAGAAAAUGCGUGAUUUUUGCUUAAAUGCAUGAUUUUUUUGUUAAAUGGGGGAUUUUUGAGGAGAAAAUGCAUGAUUUACCCUUAAAUGGGGGGUUUUUGAGGAGAAAAUGCGUGAUUUUCCAAAUAAUUGGGGAUUUUUGAAGGGAAAAUGGGUGAUUUUCGGAUUAAAUGCGGGAAUUUUGAAGAGAAAAUGGGUGAUUUUGGGGUUAAAUGGGAGAUUUUUGAAGAGAGAACGGGUGAUUUUCGCUUAAACGCGUGAUUUUUUAGCUAAAUGUUGGAUUUUCGAAGAGAAAAUGCAUGAUUUACCCUUAAAUGGGGGAUUUUCGAGGAGAAAAUGUGUGAUUUUGGGGUAAAAUGGGAGGUUUUCGAAGAGAAAAUGCGUGAUUUUCGGCUUAAAUGUAUGAUCUUUUUUGUUAAAUGUGGGAUUUUUGAGGAGAAAAUGCAUGAUUUACCCUUAAAUGGGGGGUUUUUGAGGAGCAAAUGUGUGAUUGUCCAAAUAAUUGGAGAUUUUUGAAGGGGAAAUGGGUGAUUUUCGGGUUAAAUGUGGGAAUUUUGAGGAGAAAAUGGGUGAUUUUUGCUAAAAUGGAGCAUUUUUUAAGAGAAAUUGGGUGAUUUUCAGGCUAAAAUGGGGCAUUUUCGAAGAGAAAAUUGUUGAUGUUUGCUUAAUUGGGGGAUUGUCAAAAUGAAAAUGGGUGAUUUUCAGGUUAAAUGGGGAAUUUUCAAAGAGGAAAUGCGUGAUAUUCGCUUAAAUGGGGGAUUUUCGAAAAGAAAAUGGGUGAUUUUUGGAUUAAAUGGGGGAAUUUUGAAGAGAAAAUGGGUGAUUUUCGGGUUAAAUGGGGGGUUUUCCAAGAGAAAACAGGUGAUUUUCGCUUAAAUGCGUGAUUUUUUAGCUAAAUGUUGGAUUUUUGAAGAGAAAAUGCAUGAUUUACCCUUAAAUGGGGGAUUUUCGAGGAGAAAAUGCGUGAUAUUUGCUUAAAUGGGGCAUUUUCGAAGAGAAAAUGCGUGAUUUUUGCUUAAAUGCAUGAUUUUUUUGUUAAAUGGGGGAUUUUUGAGGAGAAAAUGCAUGAUUUACCCUUAAAUGGGGGAUUUUCAAGGAGAAAAUGCGUGAUUUUCCAAAUAAUUGGAGAUUUUUGAAGGGAAAAUGGGUGAUUUUCGGAUUAAAUGGGGGAAUUUUGAAGAGAAAAUGGGUGAUUUUCGGGUUAAAUGGGGGAUUUUUGAAGAGAAAACGGGUGAUUUUUGCUUACAUGUCUGAUUUUUUAGCUAAAUGUUGGAUUUUCGAAGAGAAAAUGCAUGAUUUACCCUUAAAUGGGGGGAUUUUCGUGGAGAAAAUGGGUGAUUUUUGGGUUAAAUGGGGCAUUUUUGAAGAGAAAAUGGGUGAUUUUCGAGAUAAAUCAAGGAUUUUUGAAGAGAAAAUGCAUGAUUUACCCUUAAAUGUUGGAUUUUCAAGGUGAAAGUGCGUGAUUUUCAAAAUAAAUGAGUGAUUUUUGAAGGGAAAAUGGUUGAUUUUUGGGUUAAAUGGGGGAUUUUGAAGAGAAAAUGGGUGAUUUUCGGGUUAAAUGGGGGAUUUUCGAAGAGAAAGUGGGUGAUUAUCGAGAUAAAUCAAGGAUUUUUGAAAAGAACAUGCAUGAUUUACCCUUAAAUGGGGGAUUUUCUAGGAGAAAAUGCGUGAUUUUCAACAUAAAUGCACGAUUUUUGAAGGGAAAAUUGGCGAUUUUUGGUUUUAAUUGGGGAGUUUUGAAGAGAAAAAGGGCGAUUUUCAUUUAAAUGGGCGAUUUUCGAAGAGUAGAUUUGUGAUUUUCGUUUAAAUGGGGGAUUUUCAAAGGGAAAAUGCAUGAUUUACGGGUUAAAUUGGGGAUUUUUGAAGAGAUAAUUCGUGAUUUAAAUUUAAAUGGGGGAUUUCCGAAGAGAAAAUGCCAGAUUUUUGAGUUAAAUGGGGGGAUUUUCCAAGCGAAAAUUUGUGUUUUUCACGUUAAAUUGGGGAUUUUGGGAUUUAAAAUGUGUGAUUUUCGCUUUAAGUGGGUGAUUAAGUGGGUGAUAAGGAGAAAAAUGGUCAUUUUUGGGUUAAAUGGGGAAUUUUUGAAGAGAAAAUCGGCAAUUUUCGCUUAAAUAGGGGAUUUUCAAAGCGCAAAUGUGUGUCUUUCAGAAUAAAUUUGGGAUUUUCAAAUCAAAAAUGGAUGGUUUUCCCUUAAAUUUGGAUUUUCAAAGGGAAAAUGCAUGAUUUUCGGGUUAUAUGGGGGAUUUUCGAAGACAAAAUACGUGUUUUUCGGGUUAAAUGGGUAUUUUCGAAGAGAAAAUGUGUGAUUUUCGGGUUAAAUGGGAGAUUUUUGAAGAGAGAAGGAGUGAUUUUUGGGUUAAUUGUGGGAUUUUUGAAGAGGAAAUUCAUGACUUUCGGAUUAAAUGGGGUAUUUUCAAAGGGAAAAUGCAUGAUUUCCCGUUUAAAUGUUGGAUUUUCAAAGAGAAAUUGGGUGAUUUUCGGGUUAAAUUGGGGAUUUUCAAAGGGAAAAUGCAUUUUUUUUCGGGUUAAAUGGGGCUUUUACGUAGAGAAAAUGCAUGUUUUUCAAGUUAAAUGGGGGAUUGUCGAAGAGAAGAUUUGUUUUUUUUUAGGGGGGUUAAAUAAGGGAUUUUUGUAGAGAAAAUUCUUGAUUUGGGGGUUGAAUGAGGGAUUUUCGAAGAGAAAAUGCGUGAAUUUCAGGUUAGAUGUGGGAUUUUCAAAGAAAAUAUGCGUCAUUUUCAGGUUAAAUGGGGGAUUGUCGAAGAGAAAAUUUACUAUUUUCAGUUAAAUGUUUUUUUUUUUUUUUUUUUUUUGUAGAGAACAUGCAUAGUUUUCAAUGUUAAAUGGGGGUUUUUCGAAGACGAAAAAAGGAAAGAUGAUAUUUUCAGGUUAAAGUGCAAAUUUUUUGAAGAGGAAUUUCAUGAUUUUCUUGUGAAAUGGGGGAUUUUUGACAGUACAUGUUUC